rnacentral:rRNA from 1 species
UGUGACUGAGCGGCGGACGGGUGAGUAACGCGUGGGCAACCUGCCUUACACAGGGGGAUAACAGUUAGAAAUGACUGCUAAUACCGCAUAAGACCCCGGGACCGCAUGGUUCCGAGGUAAAAACUCCGGUGGUGUAAGAUGGGCCCGCGUCUGAUUAGGUAGUUGGCGGGGUAACGGCCCACCAAGCCGACGAUCAGUAGCCGACCUGAGAAGGUGACCGGCCACAUUGGGACUGAGACACGGCCCAGACUCCUACGGAAGGCAGCAG